AUACGGAGGGUGCAAGCGUUACUCGGAAUCACUGGGCGUAAAGCGCGCGUAGGCGGGUUGGCAAGUCAGAUGUGAAAUCCUACAGCUUAACUGUAGAACUGCAUUUGAAACUGCUAACCUAGAGUAUGGGAGGGGGAGAUGGAAUUAGUGGUGUAGGGGUAAAAUCCGUAGAUAUCACUAGGAAUACCGAAAGCGAAGGCGAUCUCCUGGAACAUAACUGACGCUAAGGCGUGAAAGCGUGGGGAGCAAACAGGAUUAGAAACCCUUGUAGUCC
rnacentral:rRNA from 1 species